rnacentral:rRNA from 1 species
UACGUAGGUAGCAAGCGUUGUCCGGAUUUACUGGGCGUAAAGAGCGCGCAGGCGGUCGUUCAAGUCGCGUGUGAAAGCCCCCGGCUCAACUGGGGAGGGUCACGCGAUACUGAUCGACUCGAAGGCAGGAGAGGGUAGUGGAAUUCCCGGUGUAGUGGUGAAAUGCGUAGAUAUCGGGAGGAACACCAGUGGCGAAGGCGACUACCUGGCCUGUUUCUUGACGCUGAGGCGCGAAAGCUAGGGGAGCAAACGGG